rnacentral:rRNA from 1 species
ACAGCAGUAGCCGCGGUAAAACAGAGGGUGCGAGCGUUAAUCGGAUUUACUGGGCGUAAAGCGUGCGUAGGCGGCUAAUUGAGUCGGAUGUGAAAUCCCCGAGCUUAACUUGGGAAUUGCAUUCGAUACUGGUUAGCUAGAGUGUGGGAGAGGAUGGUAGAAUUCCAGGUGUAGCGGUGAAAUGCGUAGAGAUCUGGAGGAAUACCGAUGGCGAAGGCAGCCAUCUGGCCUAACACUGACGCUGAGGUACGAAAGCAUGGGGAGCAAACAGGAUUAGAUACCCGCGUAGUCCCUGUCUCUUAUAC